AUGCAGCUGACGAGUCCCAAAUAGGACGAGACGCUCGUUCUAAAU
rnacentral:hammerhead_ribozyme from 1 species